rnacentral:rRNA from 1 species
AUACGGAGGAUCCGAGCGUUAUCCGGAUUUAUUGGGUUUAAAGGGAGCGUAGGUGGACAGUUAAGUCAGUUGUGAAAGUUUGCGGCUCAACCGUAAAAUUGCAGUUGAUACUGGCUGUCUUGAGUACAGUAGAGGUGGGCGGAAUUCGUGGGGGAGCGGUGGAAUGCUUAGAUAUCACGAAGAACUCCGAUUGCGAAGGCAGCUCACUGGACUGCAACUGACACUGAUGCUCGAAAGUGUGGGUAUCAAACAGGAUUAGAUACCCUGGUAGUCCACACAGUAAACGAUGAAUACUCGCUGUUUGCGAUAUACAGUAAGCGGCCAAGCGAAAGCAUUAAGUAUUCCACCUGGGGAGUACGCCGGCAACGGUGAAACUCAAAUGAAUUGGCGGGG